UCUGAAGACUUCCCAGCUCAGAUUUUCAGCAAUUCCAUUAACUUUUUCAAGUGCUUGAUAGAUGGGUACAGUUCCAACUGGUACCGCAGAGUUUCGUAAUAUCCAUUCACGGGUCUCAUGAAUGUGGCGACCUGUUGAAAGGUCCAUGACAGUGUCAGCACCCCACAUGGUUGCCCAUUGAACCUUAUAAACUUCAUCCUCAAUAGAGCUUGCAACAGCAGAAUUUCCAAUAUUUGCAUUGACUUUGACCAAAAAAUUUCUUCCAACUAUCAUUGGCUCUAACUCUAGGUGCUUCUUGUUGGAAGGGAUUAUUGCCCGUCC
rnacentral:misc_RNA from 1 species